rnacentral:rRNA from 1 species
CUCUGUGACUCCUACGGGAGGCAGCAGUGGGGGAAUAUUGCACAAUGGGCGCAAGCCUGAUGCAGCCAUGCCGCGUGUGUGAAGAAGGCCUUCGGGUUGUAAAGCACUUUCAGUUGUGAGGAAGGUGGUGUCGUUAACACCUGCACUAUUUGACGUUACCUACAGAAGAAGCACCGGCUAACUCCGUGCCAGCAGCCGCGGUAAUACGGAGGGUGCGAGCGUUAAUCGGAAUUACUGGGCGUAAAGCGCAUGCAGGCGGCCUGUUAAGUCAGAUGUGAAAGCCCCGGGGCUUAACCUCGGAAUUGCAUUUGAAACUGGCAGGCUAGAGUCUUGUAGAGGGGGUAGAAUUUCAGGUGUAGCGGUGAAAUGCGUAGAGAUCUGAAGGAAUACCAGUGGCGAAGGCGGCCCCCUGGACAAAGACUGACGCUCAGAUGCGAAAGCGUGGGGAGCAAACAGGAUUAGAUACCCUGGUAG